AUAACUCACGCGACGCGGCGAAUCCGAAGGUCCGGCUGGUGCCGCAAGAUGCGGGUUGUGGUGACGCCGGAGGUGGCGUUCCAGGAGUCCCCCCCCCCCCUCGCCUUACAAAAAAUAGUCUGAUGGUUUUCUGCUUUUUUCUCUGUUUCAGCUGUGUUUUCUACUCUACAAUCUUGCCGACAGUAAAGCUGUGCAAUCGUGAUUUGUAUUUUAGAGUCCUACGAACAGUGGAGCUGCCCAAUUGUGAAUUCUAUUUUACAUUCCUGCAAAUGAAGAGGAUGAUCAAGGCUCUAGAAACGACGGGGGAGGAAGGGGCUAUCCUCCAGGUCGUCUUCCGAAGGAAAGAGGAAGUGGUUGCAGCGCCGGUUGCACCGGGACCCGCCUGGCCCGAUGAGAGCCUAGAAGUGGCGAUGGCCCACCUGUCGGUCAACCUGGAGGAGCCAGCAUCACCGCUGUCAACGCCGCAAGCAGAGCCAGCAGUGGCCGAAGAGCCAGAGCCGGAAGUGAUCGAAGAGCGAGAUCCAGAAGUGGUCGUAGAGCCGGAGCCAGAAGUGGCCGAAGAGCAAGAGCCAGAGGUGUCCGAAGAGCCGGAGACAGCGGCAGCACCGGUACCGGUCUCGGCACCGGCAAGAGACGCCAAGCAGUUUUUGGCCCAUGGGCUGAUAGCAGAGGCUCAAGAGUGUGGAGCUGAAAGCAACACACAGAUAAUCGAGGCGAUGGGGCUGCUCCGCUUGAGGAGGCAGGAUGUCAGAAGCAGAAUAACACAGAGGCGAAGGACAUCAUCAGAAUCCUUAGAAAGUCCCGAGGAAAGAAAGAAACCUACACUGAAAAAAAAGGCGUACUAUUUUCAAUGUAAAGCGGCAGAAAUAAGAACUGAAACCAAGGGCAGGAAGCCGAGAGCACCUGAGUAA
rnacentral:lncRNA from 1 species